rnacentral:rRNA from 1 species
CAUAUGGUCGACCUGCAGGCGGCCGCGAAUUCACUAGUGAUUAGAGUUUGAUCAUGGCUCAGAACGAACGCUGGCGGCAUGCCUAAUACAUGCAAGUCGAACGAGACCUUCGGGUCUAGUGGCGCACGGGUGCGUAACGCGUGGGAAUCUGCCCUUGGGUUCGGAAUAACUUCGGGAAACUGAAGCUAAUACCGGAUAAUGACGAAAGUCCAAAGAUUUAUCGCCCAGGGAUGAGCCCGCGUAGGAUUAGCUAGUUGGUGGGGUAAAGGCUCACCAAGGCAACGAUCCUUAGCUGGUCUGAGAGGAUGAUCAGCCACACUGGGACUGAGACACGGCCCAGACUCCUACGGGAGGCAGCAGUAGGGAAUAUUGGACAAUGGGCGAAAGCCUGAUCCAGCAAUGCCGCGUGAGUGAUGAAGGCCUUAGGGUUGUAAAGCUCUUUUACCCGAGAUGAUAAUGACAGUAUCGGGAGAAUAAGCUCCGGCUAACUCCGUGCCAGCAGCCGCGGUAAUACGAAUCGAAUUCCCGCGGCCGCCAUGGCGGCCGGGAGCAUGCGACGUCGGGCCCAA